rnacentral:lncRNA from 1 species
GAAAACUCACUCUCUCCUCAGAAACUUGCAACACAAGAUCCAAGUUAUAGUUUGUUAGAAAACCUGGACAAAUCAAUAGCACACAAUGAUAACUUUUUCUCACAAAGCUAUAACUUUUCCAAGGAGGCUUGUCAGAGUUCCCUACCAUUACCAAAACUCCUAUUUUCUGAGUGGCUUUCAGUGGAUCAAGUAGAUGGUGGAAGCUCAGUGAAUUCUGAUGAUUCCUUGGUCUUGGGGAAUGAAUUUGAUCAAAAUUCAACUUUCCAAGAAGCUAUAAUGCAUAUGUUAGAAGAAAACUUUGGUGAAGAGUAUCAUAAUAGUCUAAUUCACAGUUCAACCACUGAGGUCUACAAUUCACAACUAAAGUCAACAAAUCAAGUGGAUGGAAGUGACUUCAUCAAUUGUAUUCCCGGGAAUGAGUUGUGUAGCAAUUUCAGCCUAACCAAU